AAACCAAAACCGUACAAUGAAAAGCCAAUGCACUGGUAUUUUUACAUUCACUUGAAGAAAUUCUCUCAAGUACAUCACUAUUUCAAACAUAUUUUGAAGAAUUUCUCACUUUCUGAACUUGUUCCUUACCAGUUAUUCAGUGAAACCCAUGUCACAAGUACAUGCUGAAAUUCAGUUCAGUAGAAAUAUCAACAGAUUAUCCAUUAAUCAUCACAGAUUAGAGACAAUAUAUGACAAGUCCUAGUAUUUGUCACUUUUCCUAACUGAAUUUCCCCACAUCCUGAGCACCAUUCAAAUUCUAUGUCAUUUUCCAUCUCUUCAGAAAAAAAAAUAAAAACUGAGCCCUGAAUUCUGCUGAUCCUCUGAGAGUGGUACCCACGCAAGAUAUGUGAGCACUGUUAAGAUUGUUAUUAAUUGAAACUGAGAUAAAACAGUGCUCUGGAACUGGAGAGAUCUGCCUGAGCAUUGACUACCCCACCACGUUUAGAAGAAAUCCUUUAGGAUAUUAAUGACACAUUUAAUAUUACUGUAUUCUCUCAGUACAUUGUCAUUUGUCAGUAUAUACAGGUAUCACAAGUGAAAAGAGCUUACAAUGCAGUGCUAUCCUAUUCAAACUUGGCCAUAGUAAAUAACCACCAUUCAUCCUGCAAAGGAAAAAAGUAAAAAUGACAACUCACUGAAAUAUUAGUUGCUUCAAGGACUGCUACUCAAGGAAACUAAGUCCAUUAAAAAGAGAAGAAAAGGAAGUUGAUGCAAAAUAACUAUAGCUCAUGUGCCUAACAAAUGAGAAACUUAAUCCAUUAAAGUCUAUCAUAUUCUGUCAUUGAUACUACUCCAAGAAUGGAUAUGACAACAUGUAUGUUUUCAAGAUCUCCUCUGAUACAGCUCAUGAUGACAGAAGAAAGCACUGAUCCCAAAUGAUAAAAAAGCACGUGUCAUCUAGGCACUCUUACAGACAAAACACUAAGGUAAACUAAUAUUAUUGUUUCCUCAGUGGUUUUUACUAAUAUAAUUGUUAUUGUGCUAAUAAAUUCUAUUUUUUUUAGGAAGGUUUUGUCCAAAGUCUCCCACAGAUCCUUUCAUGGAAUCAACAUGGAAAAAACUGUCACGAGAACAUGAGUUCUUUCUCCAGGCAUGAAAAUGAAAGAGCUACCUGGAUAUCAUCUGAGUACUAAAAGCACAGAACUUCCAGAUGAUUUCACGGCAGAUAUUUCCACCAGGUAAUCAGGUCACACAGAAUAUUGCAAAUACCAAUCAGAUGUUCAACUCUUCCAGAGUUUCUAGAGGAAUCAGAAUUCCCUCACAGAUGCCAUCUACAUCCUGCCUACAAUGUGGCCAAAAGCCAUUUUGGAUUUCAAAGGUUUUCCCACCAAACUUCCACCUUCACAACAUGAUCACUACAUAAUGAGGUGGAAAAACCCAUUUUACCCAGUGCAUUCUAGAGAAUGAAGUGAAAAACCCCGCAGGUUUUUGGGGUGAAUCAGAAGAGAGAAUAAACUGAAAGCUGCCAUCUCAAAGUGAAAACCUCAGAUUUGCUGCCAUCAAAAACUCGGAGAAAGAUAAAAGGUGGAUUUGUCUUCAUGGCAUUUCACCUUCUUUAGCAACUGGUUCCUUUUCUGAGACAUUUGCACCUUUCUUGAAAACUUUGCCCUGCACUUACUUACCAUAAGUAAAUAGACUCAGUUAAAAUCAUGGAGAGAAAGUGGAGUAGAGCAGGGUAAGAGCCAAAAUGAAGGCUACAUUGGGAUUCCUUCCAAAGGGUGUCCAAAAGCUACUUACAUCUUUAUUGACUCUCCCAGAAAUUUUCUACUCUGGACUUCAAAUAUUUUGUUAUAGAAAUAACUUAUUCUAGAAAUCUAACAGGGCAGAACAAGCUAUCACUAAGUCUGUGAAUACCACUGCUGCAUAUGAGCUUUAUCUCACUUUUAUUCUUAGAUCACCACUGUUGUAGUAAUCCUAUUAGCAUCCUUUGCAAGCUGACAGCUCUGUCAGUGCCUAUGUACACAUUUUGGUAUUUCUCUGACCAAAAAUAUCUGAAAUCUCCUCAGACAUCAUUAUAAUCGAUGUUCAUUUUAGAGGACAGGAUGUUUUGUCAAUAACUUUGUGGUACAUUCUUGCCAGCGUUGAAAUCCAACUCUGCCAAGUAAAAUCUGUCAUUUAAAGGGCUACAUGAUGCUUCGCAGGAGGGGCUUGGCAAGGUUUGCCUUUUGUUCUACAGACAAAUUCCAAAGCUCCUGAAAUUUAUUAAGAUUCACAACUGAUACGCUGACCACUUAAAGGGGGCAUCAGAGAAGGUGCAAAGAUCAGAUUUAAAACCUAUUUAAAUAAAGUUCACUGAUGUUAGGUCAAGGAUUUGGAUUUUGCACAGUGUGUUCAGAAUAUAUUCAGAGUAGUUCUGCAAAUUCCAACUGACGAAACAGUAAGUGUCUAAAGAACGGUACUGAAAUAAGUCAAAAGCUGGAAGUAUACUAGCAUAUACCAAUGCUUUAUCAGUAACAUAGACGAUGGCAUUGAGUGCACCCUCAGCAAGUUUGCAGAUGACACCAAGCUGAGCGGUGCAGUCAAUACGUUGGAAAGAAGGGAAGCCAUCCAGAGGGACCUGGACAGG